CGGGUGAGUAACGCGUAGGUAACCUGCCCCAUACAGAGGGAUAGCCACUGGAAACGGUGAUUAAUACCUCAUAAAACUGAGUAUACACAUGUAUGUUCAGCCAAAGAUUUAUCGGUAUGGGAUGGACCUGCGUCUGAUUAGCUGGUUGGUGAGGUAACGGCUCACCAAGGCGACGAUCAGUAGCCGACCUGAGAGGGUGAUCGGCCACAUUGGAACUGAGACACGGUCCAAACUCCUACGGGAGGCAGCAG
rnacentral:rRNA from 1 species